GCGGGGGUUGCCGAGUCGGACAAAGGCGCGGGACUUAAGAUCCCGUAACUCAGGUUUUUCGUGGGUUCGAAUCCCUCCCCCCGCA
rnacentral:tRNA from 1 species